rnacentral:rRNA from 1 species
UGGGGAAUUUUGGACAAUGGGCGAAAGCCUGAUCCAGCAAUGCCGCGUGUGUGAAGAAGGCCUUCGGGUUGUAAAGCGCUUUUGUCCGGAAAGAAAUCCUUGGCUCUAAUACAGUCGGGGGAUGACGGUACCGGAAGAAUAAGCACCGGCUAACUACGUGCCAGCAGCCGCGGUAAUACGUAGGGUGCAAGCGUUAAUCGGAAUUACUGGGCGUAAAGCGUGCGCAGGCGGUUUGCUAAGACCGAUGUGAAAUCCCCGGGCUCAACCUGGGAACUGCAUUGGUGACUGGCAGGCUAGAGUAUGGCAGAGGGGGGUAGAAUUCCACGUGUAGCAGUGAAAUGCGUAGAGAUGUGGAGGAAUACCGAUGGCGAAGGCAGCCCCCUGGGCCAAUACUGACGCUCAUGCACGAAAGCGUGGGGAGCAAACAGGAUUAGAUACCCUGGUAGUCCACGCCCUAAACGAUGUCAACUAGUUGUUGGGGAUUCAUUUCCUUAGUAACGUAGCUAACGCGUGAAGUUGACCGCCUGGGGAGUACGGUCGCAAGAUUAAAACUCAAAGGAAUUGAC